GUUGAACGCUGGCGGCGUGCUUAACACAUGCAAGUCGAACGGAAACGCUCCUCCUUUCAGUGCUAUUCUAAUGGCUAACGGGUGAGUAACACGUGUGUGAUCUGCCCUGCACUUCGGGAUAAUCAUUGGUAACUACGUCUAAUACUGGCUAGUACCAUGGUUUGGAUGCCAUUGUGGACCUUUUGUCGGUUUGGGAUGAGCUCUCGGCCUAUCAGCUUGUUAGUUGGGUAAUGUCCGACCAAGGCGUCGCCGGGUAGCCGGCCUGAGAGGGUGUACUGCCACAAGGGGACUGAGAGACGGAGCAGACUGCUAUGGGAGGCAGUAGGGGGGAGUAUUGCACAAUGGGGGCAAGCCUGUGGAAGCGACGCCGGGUGGGGGAAGAAGGCCUUGGGGUGGUAAACGCAUUAAGCUAGGGACGAAGCGCAAGUGACGGUACCUGGAGAAGAAGCACCGGCUAACUACGUG
rnacentral:rRNA from 1 species